GUCUAAUACGACCAAGCUUAAUUUGCUUGAUUCACUUCAUUAAGAGGUGUGUAUAUCAGUAAUUCCCCAAGGAAAAGGGGUUUUUCUGCUGGACUGAUGAGAGUCCUUUU
rnacentral:misc_RNA from 1 species